UACGAAGGGGGCUAGCGUUGUUCGGAUUUACUGGGCGUAAAGGGCGCGUAGGCGGUUCUACAAGUCAGAAGUGAAAGCCCUGGGCUUAACCCGGGAAUUGCUUUUGAAACUGUAAGACUAGAGUAGGGGAGAGGUGAGUGGAAUUCCCAGUGUAGAGGUGAAAUUCGUAGAUAUUGGGAAGAACACCAGUGGCGAAGGCGGCUCACUGGACCCUAACUGACGCUGAGGCGCGAAAGCGUGGGGAGCAAACAGG
rnacentral:rRNA from 1 species